CCCAGUGUGAUUCGUCACACUAUCAUUAACUGAAUCCAUAGGUUAAUGAGGCGAACCGGGGGAACUGAAACAUCUAAGUACCCCGAGGAAAAGAAAUCAACCGAGAUUCCCCCAGUAGCGGCGAGCGAACGGGGAGGAGCCCAGAGCCUGAAUCAGCAUGUGUGUUAGUGGAAGCGUCUGGAAAGGCGCGCGAUACAGGGUGACAGCCCCGUACACAAAAGCGCAUGUGCUGUGAGCUCGAUGAGUAGGGCGGGACACGUGGUAUCCUGUCUGAAUAUGGGGGGACCAUCCUCCAAGGCUAAAUACUCCUGACUGACCGAUAGUGAACCAGUACCGUGAGGGAAAGGCGAAAAGAACCCCGGCGAGGGGAGUGAAAAAGAACCUGAAACCGUGU
rnacentral:rRNA from 1 species